AGGGUGAGCAAAAACGCUCAGUUUUUUUUUGUGUGUGUGUGUCCCUUUAAAUGCAAAUGAGCUGCUGUGCUCAAAAGGGGCCGGAGUUUCAGGAGCUCAUGUUAGCACUUAGCAGCGCCUCACAUUACCUCAUGCAGACUCACUGAAAAUGUAAGAAACUGUUCAGCCUUUUAUGUUCAAAACGGAGCUGGACAAGAGACUCAAGAAGAAGUGACAUUUUGAAUGCAACAGGAUGCUUCUGAACGGCUGAGAUCAGGUGAAUGGUCACUCAGAGUUGCUUUACUGGGCCUGGGACGAGACAAGACUGGGAAAAACAGCACCAACAGGCUGAUCAGCAUACAGUGCAUCGAUGUUGCAUGAGAAGUCAACAGGAUGAGAUAUGCAACUCUGCUGAUUACAUAGCUCCGCCCCGCAAUAUGUGCACAACGUGAGUGACACAACAGCCAAUGGAUACAGUGAUUUUCUUAGAGGACAGAGGACUGUCCAAACACAUAAAAACUCAUUGUCUGCCUGCAGGGCCUCUACUUGUCCAGUCAGGUUUGGUUUUCAGAGAAAAGUGGAAGUGGUGGAAGAGAGGUUCUUUGGAUUUAUCAGCACCCAUGGAUGCACCCAGCUUUGCUUUUCUUACUGAUUGGUUAGACUCUGGCUGUAUCUAAGACCAGGGUUUUAAAAAAAAAUCCUCAACCAAUAAAGGGAAAUUGCAUUUUCUUAUAUUGUACAGAUGCACUGGUGCAAAUUUUAGCUGAUGCAUGCAUGUUUUAAAGGACUAUAAUUCAGCUUUAGAUUUUCAACCAUCCCAAACCCAGUAAGGCACCUCAAAUUUAAUAUUUAAAAUUUAAAGUCAUUUAUAAUGUAAUCACAGUCAUUUUACCCAGUAACACUUUAUAAUAAGGUUUAGGUAAUUAGGAAUCAAGAAUUAAUAAUUAAAAAUACUUUUACAGCAUUUAUUAUUCUUGGUCAGUGUUCAUUUUACAUAUACAUUUUUAACUUAAUUUUACUUUUUGUUAUAUAAAUAAUCAGUAGUAGUGUGUUAUGAACAAAUAUAAAUUAACAGUGAACAAAUAAAGUGCAAAUGUUACCAAUAGAAUGAAACCAUCAUCAUAUGUGUAUGUGUGUGUAUGUGUGUGUGUGUGUAUAUAUUACUUAUUUAUUUAUUUAUUUAUUUUUUACCAGAUAAUUUAAGGUUCUGCAGUGAGGUCACAGUUAUUUCCGGCAGCAGAGAUUAAAUGAUGAGUUUUCUCAUAGUGUGACUUGGUUGAGGAUUAGAGAGACUUUGGGACAAAUGUCAGAAGACUCAGACUCAGCUAUCAGUAUCCACCUGGCUCCAUCAUCACUAACACUCAUGCUGUGCUCCAGUGUGCCACUUUUAUUAAAGACUUAUGAUAGAUUGGAUUGGUUAAUACUGGGAAUUGAGAUCUGUAGCAGAGUAAACAAGACACUGUAAACCUGUGUAGCCAGUGUGGUAACAGGAGGUGUGCAAACCACUUCCUGACUCAGCUGUAAAUGAAUGCAUUUUAAUGGCACACCCAUACAGAUGAAACAUGUAUGUCAUUAGUAACUGAAUAUGAAUAUAGAAUAGGUUGCUAGAUUAUAAGUAAGUAUUAUAUAGCGUCUACAUACAGUAAAUUUUGCAGUGAACUAAUAGUAUUGUAUAAAUUGUAAAUAGAAUGUGACAGUGUGCGUGUUUUGCUGUGUUUGAGCAUGUGAUCAUAAAAUAAAUCAAUACAAUAUGACAUAUCCACUGCUUACUUUUUUUUUUUUUAAUGUAGCAUAAUAAGAGAUUAACAAUUCUCAGAAAAUUUCAACUAGAUCAGCCCAAAUGUUACAUUUGGACCGGUUCAUCCCACUCUUUUUCUCUGAUCUUUUAGUUUGACAUGAACAGGAUGCUGGCCAAACAUGCAAUAACAUAAACAGAUUGUGCAGAUUGAAAAUUGCAGGCAUAUUAAGA